rnacentral:tRNA from 1 species
GAGGUUGUGGCUCAGCGGUAGAGUACUUGCCUCGCAUGGAUGAGGCACUGGGUUUGAUCCUCAGAACCACA